rnacentral:pre_miRNA from 1 species
AUUCUACUCCCUCCGUUGCACAAUACAUGCCUUCUAUUUGUCAAAAUAUAUAUGUAUCUAGACAUGUUUUAGUAUAUAGUACAUCCAUUUUUGGACAAAUGGAAGUCAAGUAUUUUGGAACGGAGGGAGUACACA